rnacentral:rRNA from 1 species
GAUGAACGCUAGCGGCAGGCUUAACACAUGCAAGUCGAGGGGUAUUGGUUUUCGGACCAAGAGACCGGCGCACGGGUGCGUAACGCGUAUGCAAUCUACCUUUUGCAGAGGGAUAGCCCCAGAGAAAUUUGGAUUAAUACCUCAUAGUAUAGUACUUUGGCAUCAAGGAACUAUUAAAGUCACAACGGCAAAAGAUGAGCAUGCGUCCCAUUAGCUAGUUGGUAAGGUAACGGCUUACCAAGGCAACGAUGGGUAGGGGUCCUGAGAGGGGAGAUCCCCCACACUGGUACUGAGACACGGACCAGACUCCUACGGGAGGCAGCAGUGAGGAUAUGGACAAUGGGCGCAAGGCCUGGAUCCAGCCAUGCCGCGUGCAGGAUGACGGUCCUA